UACGGAGGGAGCUAGCGUUGUUCGGAAUUACUGGGCGUAAAGCGCGCGUAGGCGGCUGUUUAAGUCAGAGGUGAAAGCCUGGAGCUCAACUCCAGAACUGCCUUUGAGACUGGACAGCUAGAAUCCUGGAGAGGUGAGUGGAAUUCCGAGUGUAGAGGUGAAAUUCGUAGAUAUUCGGAAGAACACCAGUGGCGAAGGCGGCUCACUGGACAGGUAUUGACGCUGAGGUGCGAAAGCGUGGGGAGCAAACAGG
rnacentral:rRNA from 1 species